CACCAGGUUAGGGUCACUGGGAGGCAGGCUGUGAGAUGCCGUGGGGAAGCCCUUGCUGACGGAACAUUUGUCAGAAGCCCACAGCACACAGUACUGUGGUCUGCACGUCCAUCGUCUCAGCCGAUUCUCCCAGCAACCCUAUAAAGUCAAUAUUCUUCACACCAUCUUUUGCACGAGGAAGUCAAGGCUUAGAGCAGUCACGUGACUUCAGAGUUGCUGAGGAGAACAGGAUCCAGAUCAGAAUCCAAGCCUUCCAGGAACACCUCUGCUUAAUCCAUAGUCCAGGGAGUUCAAUCAUGUGUCCUGGCCACAUGGCUACAGAGAAGAUGGCUGUUUCAGAAAGACCACUACAAUGUCGUGCCAUAUCAAGCUAGGGUAUUGUGUCACUCAUUGUAGGGACUCUGAGAUUUCUUAGCCCAGGAAGCAGAUGAUCUUUGGAAAGUUCACCACCACAUCUGGAGAGAAAGGACCUAAUACACACAUGAAAUUGCUACUGGUCUUCAAAACACUGACACAGCCAUGGAAAUUUGCUGUGUGAAGAGGCUUUGCCAGAUAUGCUGUUCAUGAGUUCUUUAGGAAUGCUUCCUGGUCCUCUUAAGCUCCCGAAGUCACAUAUGCAUGAGAUAUGGAAGAAAAGGCAUGUAUGAAAAAAUACCUGUACAAAAAUGAAGACUGUCUCAUUUAAAA